rnacentral:lncRNA from 1 species
AUCGAUUUCAUGAGACGUAAGUUUUUAUUAAAUUGUUUAGAUUUUUUUCAAUAUGCAUUCAAAUAUUUAUUCAUGUUUAUUUUGUGCUGCAAAUAGGCUAUUAAAGAUGAAAAGAUCAUUGAUUCACAUGCCGUUUGAACGGAGGCGAAUAUAGUUGUCACACUACAAAUUAAAGAGCAUAAAAACAUUUAUUUUUUGUAUUUUAUCAUAAAAUUGACAGAAUUUAUAGGCUGAGACUUUGUGUCAUAUUAAAAGUUACAAAGCACAAAGCUUAUUGCGAUUAUUGGGUGGCUUGCCUGCUACAAAUAAUGAAUGUACUUGAAAAUGUUAAAUAUUAUUCCAAGCAUUUAUACCAUAAAUAAAACACCUUGUGUAAGGUUAUUUACUUCAGAAAAAUCAACAAUAAGUUAAGUUAACCGAGUUGGAGCAAGGGGUGUAUAAAUAUUUUGCAUAUGGGCCCGGGGCUGACUUGCUACGCCACUGAUGUACAGCAUUACAAUUCGUUACUUCUUUAAGCACUUGAGCACCUUUAUGACUGAGCUGCCUCUUACAGUUCCAUAUCUACCUGAUCCCAUGUAAUGGAAUUACAAUGGAAUUUACUGAUAAGCACAGAAAACUGUAGGACAGAUAAUUUAGGAAAAAUUUGUUGUGCAUAGGGCUUGGAAUAGAAAAUCGAUUCAAAUUCUGGAAUCGAAUACUUAAGAUGAGGAAUCGGAUACUUGUUACAAAAUUAAAAUUGUAUUUCCUCUUAUCGAAUCUUUUGUGUGCAUUUUAAUAUGACUUUAAAACAUUCAUGCACAAGACCCACACGCUGUUUUCUGUGCUGCACACACAUCCAUAGCGCACUCACAAAAAAAGUGAUUUUAUACCAUUCACACACAAGAAGAUAGUAGCACCACACUCACCUUUGAAUCGCUGUUGUGAUAGAUAAUAAUAAUAAUGUCUCUUAUCCCUGCAGCUUUUCAACAUAUUGUUCUAUACAAAAGUGAAACCUCUGAGGAAGGAAUUGUUCUAAAAAAAGUUAAAGAUGCUGUUCGUUCUAAAACCGACCUUGAGGUGUGCAGAGCGAUCGGACCUGACGGUGGGUGGCACAGUGGAUUUGUAAGGGUUGACCUGUGCUAUUAUGAAAAAGACUGGGAAACUCAUCAAGCCAAAAGCUAUGAGGUUCUGGUUGAUCCGUGCGGAGGAAGUGGUUGGAAAUGGGUGGAGGGGGCAGAAGGAAACAUGUACACAUAUGACGAAUCGAGGAGGUUUCCAGGAGUCAAAUACUACGUGUUUUGAGGAGAAAUGGCUAUGUAGGGAAGCUUUUCAACACACGGAGUGGCUUUCUGUGCCAUUUUCCACUUGGCUCAUACACCCGGGAUGGAAGUUUCUAUGCUCUGGUUACACAACCAUGUUUGUGAAGACUCUUCACCAUGAUUCACGGUUCAGUGCUUAAGUUUCUCUAGUUCCUUUGAUUGGGUGGAGGUGCUGUAUUCAUCUUUCAAAAGACAGACUGAACCUAAAUGCACAGACGGAAAAUAGUAGCCAACUCUCACAAAACAUUUAUGCAACUGGUAUAAACACAUGCUUUUUGUUACUAAUUUUAUUUGGUUGCUUUUCAGCGGGAUCUUUUUAGGAUUAAAAAAAGUUCUAAAUUGUAUUAGCCAUUAACAUUUGAUGAAAGUGAGCAAGUGGAGUAUAUUUCCACCUGCAGGAUAUGUUAUGUAAGUUUGCAGAAACAUUCUGUGUUCUCUGCACAGUCAAUACUAUGAACUCAAUGCCAUAAUGUCCUUUGCUGCAAUAAUGAUGUAAGAUUUGGCAGUGUGCAAAUUCCAAUGAAAUAUAAAUGCUUCAAUAAACAUUACUAAAUUCACUUUUAUUGUCUUUCUUCAGUGUUACAGCUCAAAAUAAUAUUUGUGC